rnacentral:rRNA from 1 species
UACGAAGGGAGCUAGCGUUGUUCGGAAUCACUGGGCGUAAAGCGCACGUAGGCGGAUGUGUCAGUCAGGGGUGAAAUCCCGGAGCUCAACUUCGGAACUGCCUUUGAUACAGCACGUCUUGAGUCCGAUAGAGGUGGGUGGAAUUCCUAGUGUAGAGGUGAAAUUCGUAGAUAUUAGGAAGAACACCGGUGGCGAAGGCGGCCCACUGGAUCGGUACUGACGCUGAGGUGCGAAAGCGUGGGGAGCAAAAGGG